rnacentral:lncRNA from 12 species
CCUAGAAAGAACUCUCUUCCUCUGUUGAUUCCUCUGCCAGCCUCCCCCGUUCUCCUUUCUUCACGGUGUAAUUGAAGGAAUAAAGUUCAUUGAAAAUUAGUGGUCAGCUCCACUUAUUACUGAUCACACACAGGAAAUCCCUGCAGCUCCAGUGAGCAGAGGGCCUGUGUCCUUCUCAGGUGCUUCUGGACUCCACUGACAGCUUCCAUCCCACAGUGCUGGUAGAACUUCAUGGGUGCAAGAAGUAAUUUCCUCUGGGUUCGCACAUGGUGACUCAUGCCAGUUCCUGCAGCAACGGCACACAAUAAAUUACACAACUAGCACUUGACAUUUCUUGUCAUCUGAAAAACCAGGUUACAGAUUGCAAGAUUUGCAUAAAUAGUCUUGGCACAAUUCUUUACAAAUAUGCAUACCCAUACUUUUUUAGCUUCC